AUUGAACGCUGGCGGCAUGCUUUACACAUGCAAGUCGGACGAGUGGCGAACGGGUGAGUAAUAUCUUGGAACGUACCUAGUAAUGGGGGAUAACCAAUCGAAAGAUUGGCUAAUACCGCAUAUUAUUAGAUGAGCCAAUAUGGGAUUAGCUAGUGGUUAGGGUAAAGGCCUACCAAGGCGACGAUCAGUAGCGGGUCUGAGAGGAUGAUCCGCCACACUGGGACUGAGACACGGCCCAGACUCCUACGGGAGGCAGCAGGGGGGAAUUUUGGACAAUGGGCGCAAGCCUGAUCCAGCCAUGCCGCGUGUCUUAAGAAGGCCUUCGGGUUGUAAAGGACUUUGGUUAGGGAAGCGGUACCUAAAGAAUAAGCACCGGCUAACUCCGUGCCAGCAGCCGCGGUAAUUC
rnacentral:rRNA from 1 species